rnacentral:sRNA from 1 species
GUCAGGCCGGGUAAAAUAAAGGGGUGCAAUUAAACUAAUAUCAUGCACAUAUCAGGGGUGAGGAUGCGAAUAAUUUCAAAUCGAUCAAACUGAAAAGCUGUAUUUGAAUUUGUGCAAAAUUAAAUGCACAUCUAAACAUAACGAAAUGUUUAUUAAGAUAAAUAAAUUCCAUUGACUAUCAAAUUGUAGAAAAUCCUUAAUUUCAGUCUUUCAGCCAUUUUGAUAACAAGUUAAACUUACUGAAAUAUAUAUAAUUUUCAUUUUAGCUGGUACCUGCUUUGUCUUGAGAUUUACAUAAAUGAUGUUCUUAUUGGUGAUCAUUUACCCGCACCCUUAUCCUGGUGUCAUAUACAAGAUGAAAUGAUGGAAAGAAAAACCUGAACUUUAGAAACAGGAAGACUGUGUUUUUGAAGAGAGAAGAGGACCAGAACUAAGAAGUCAUACAAUAAACACAUUGACAUCAUAAAAAGAAAUUGCAGUAUUGAGUUUGCAUGCAUAUGUCAGGUUUAAAUGUUGUCACAGAAUUUUUUUUCAGAAAGUCCCUUUAUCUUCUUGAAUUAAUAAAA